rnacentral:tRNA from 1 species
GGGGCUGGGUAUAGCUCAGUGGUAGAGCGCAUGCUUAGUAUGCAUGAGGUCCUGGGUUCAAUACCCAGUAUCUCCA